rnacentral:misc_RNA from 1 species
GAAAUGCGAUAACUAAUGUGAAUUGCAGAAUUCAGUGAAUCAUCGAGUCUUUGAACGCACAUUGCGCCCCCUGGUAUUCCGGGGGGCAUGCCUGUCCGAGCGUCAUUGCUGCCCUCAAGCACGGCUUGUGUGUUGGGCCACCGUCCCGGGAACUUCUGGUCCCUGGGACGGGCCCGAAAGGCAGCGGCGGCACCGUGUCUGGUCCUCGAGCGUAUGGGGCUUUGUCACCCGCUCCCGUAGGUCCAGCCGGCGGCCAGCCUCGCAACCAACCAUUCUUUAACCAGGUUGACCUCGGAUCAGGUAGGGAUACCCGCUGAACUUAA